GAUGAACGCUAGCGACAGGCUUAACACAUGCAAGUCGAGGGGCAGCAUGAUUUGUAGCAAUACAGAUUGAUGGCGACCGGCGCACGGGUGAGUAACGCGUAUGCAACUUACCUAUCAGAGGGGGAUAGCCCGGCGAAAGUCGGAUUAAUACCCCAUAAAACAGGGGUCCCGCAUGGGAAUAUUUGUUAAAGAUUCAUCGCUGAUAGAUAGGCAUGCGUUCCAUUAGGCAGUUGGCGAGGUAACGGCCCACCAUGGCGACGAUCGGUAGCCGGACUGAGAGGUUGACCGGCCACAUUGGGACUGAGACACGGCCCAGACUCCUACGGGAGGCAGCAGUGAGGGAUAUUGGGCAAUGGGGGAAACCCUGACCCAGCGACGCCGCGUGAGGGAAGACGGUCUUCGGAUUGUAAACCUCUGUCUUUGGGGACGAAAAAGGACGGUACCCAAGGAGGAAGCUCCGGCUAACUACGUGCCAGCAGCCGCGGUAAUACGUAGGGAGCGAGCGUUGUCCGGAAUUACUGGGUGUAAAGGGAGCGUAGGCGGGAAGGCAAGUUGGAUGUGAAAACUGUGGGCUUAACCGACAGACUGCAUUCAAAACUGUUUUUCUUGAGUGAAGUAGAGGCAAGCGGAAUUCCUAGUGUAGCGGUGAAAUGCGUAGAUAUUAGGAGGAACACCAGUGGCGAAGGCGGCUUGCUGGGCUUUUACUGACGCUGAGGCUCGAAAGUGUGGGGAGCAAACAGGAUUAGAUACCCUGGUAGUCCACACCGUAAACGAUGAUUACUAGGUGUGGGGGCGUCAAGCUUCCGUGCCGGAGUUAACACAAUAAGUAAUCCACCUGGGGAGUACGGCCGCAAGGUUGAAACUCAAAGGAAUUGACGGGGGCCCGCACAAGCAGUGGAGUAUGUGGUUUAAUUCGAAGCAACGCGAAGAACCUUACCAGGUCUUGACAUCGUGCGCAUAGUCUAGAGAUAGAUGAAGUCUUUCGGGACGCAUAGACAGGUGGUGCAUGGUUGUCGUCAGCUCGUGUCGUGAGAUGUUGGGUUAAGUCCCGCAACGAGCGCAACCCUUACGAUUAGUUGCUACGCAAGAGCACUCUAAUAGGACUGCCGUUGACAAAACGGAGGAAGGUGGGGAUGACGUCAAAUCAUCAUGCCCCUUAUGACCUGGGCCACACACGUACUACAAUGGCAAUGACAGAGGGAAGCAAGAUAGCGAUAUGGAGCAAACCCCUAAACAUUGUCUCAGUUCGGAUUGCAGGCUGCGACCCGCCUGCAUGAAGCCGGAAAUUGCUAGUAAUCGCGGAUCAGCGUGCCGCGGUGAAUACGUUUCCCGGGCCUU
rnacentral:rRNA from 1 species